CCUACGGGUGGCAGCAGUGGGGAAUAUUGCACAAUGGGGGAAACCCUGAUGCAGCGACGCCGCGUGAGUGAAGAAGGAUCUCGGUACGUAAAGCUCUAUCAGUAGGGAAGAAAAUGACGGUACCUGACUAAGAAGCACCGGCUAACUACGUGCCAGCAGCCGCGGUAAUACGUAGGGGGCAAGCGUUAUCCGGAUUGACUGGGUGUAAAGGGAGCGUAGGCGGCAGCACAAGUCUGGAGUGAAAUCCCGGGGCUUAACCCCGGAACUGCCUUUGAAACUGUGCGGCUGGAGUGCAGGAGGGGUAAGCGGAAUUCCUGGUGUAGCGGUGAAAUGCGUAGAUAUUAGGAGGAACACCGGUGGCGAAGGCGGCUUACUGGACUGUAACUGACGUUGAGGCUCGAAAGCGUGGGGAGCAAACAGGAUUAGAUACCCUAGUAGUC
rnacentral:rRNA from 1 species